rnacentral:rRNA from 1 species
UACGAAGGUGGCAAGCGUUGUUCGGAUUUACUGGGCGUACAGGGAGCGUAGGCGGUUGGAUAAGCCCUCCGUGAAAUCUCCAGGCUUAACCUGGAAAGUGCAGAGGGGGACUGUUCAGCUAGAGGAUGGGAGAGGAGCGCGGAAUUCCCGGUGUAGCGGUGAAAUGCGUAGAUAUCUGGAGGAACACCGGUGGCGAAGGCGGCAUCCUGGACCGGUAUUGGACGCUGAGGCGCGAAAGCCAGGGGAGCAAACGGG